CGCGUAGGCGGCUUGGCAAGUCAGAUGUGAAAUCCCCGAGCUUAACUUGGGAAUUGCAUCUGAAACUGUUGAGCUUGAGUCCUGGAGGGGAUAGUGGAAUUCCCAGUGUAGCGGUGAAACGCGUAGAUAUUGGGAGGAACACCCGUGGCGAAGGCGGCUAUCUGGACAGUGACUGACGCUGAGGCGCGAAAGCUAGGGGAGCGAACG
rnacentral:rRNA from 1 species